CGGUUAAAAAGCUCGUAGUUGGAUCUCGGCAAGUAGAGGGCGGUAUGCUUCGUAGCAUUACUGCCCUAUUACUUGUAGUUUUGCCAGAGGUUCCUGGGUGCUCUUAAUCGAGUGUCUAGGGAUGCUGGCAGGUUUACUUUGAAAAAAUUAGAGUGCUCAAAGCAGGCUAUUACGCUUGAAUAUUCGUGCAUGGAAUAAUAGAAUAGGAAGUUGUUUCUAUUUUGUUGGUUUUCGGAAAUCGACUUAAUGAUUAAUAGGGACAGUCGGGGGCAUUUGUAUUCAAACGACAGAGGUGAAAUUCUUGGACCGUUUGAAGACAAACUACUGCGAAAGCAUUUGCCAAGAAUGUUUUCAUUAAUCAAGAACGAAAGUUAGAGGUUCGAAGGCGAUUAGAUACCGCCCUAGUUCUAACCAUAAACGAUGCCAGCUAGCGAUCUGAGGACGUUUUUUUUGUAGACUCCUCAGGAAGCUUCCGGGAAACCAAAGCGUGUGGGUUCCGGGGGAAGUAUGGUUGCAAAGCUGAAACUUAAAGGAAUUGAC
rnacentral:rRNA from 1 species